rnacentral:rRNA from 1 species
UACGGAGGGUGCAAACGUUGCUCGGAAUCAUUGGGCGUAAAGCGCACGUAGGCGGUCUUUUAAGUCGGAUGUGAAAGCCCCAGGCUCAACCUGGGAAGUGCAUCGGAAACUGAAAGGCUAGAGUACGGAAGAGGGUCUCGGAAUUCCCGGUGUAGAGGUGAAAUUCGUAGAUAUCGGGAGGAACACCAGUGGCGAAGGCGGAGACCUGGGCCGAUACUGACGCUGAGGUGCGAAAGCGUGGGGAGCAAGCAGG